rnacentral:tRNA from 2 species
GGGCGCGUAGCUCAGUUGGAAGAGCGCGGCGUUUGCAACGCCGAGGCCUGGGGUUCAAAUCCCCACGCGUCCAC